rnacentral:lncRNA from 1 species
GUGUCUCGAAGAAGGGUGAACUCCACUUACGAGGAUAUUCUGACAGUAUGCGUGAAUACUUGGCAGUACGUCAAAAACCCAUGAUUCGUCAGCAUUGAUGACGAAUCUGAUAACCUGAUCACCCAAGGCUUGUUUAAAUUCCAAUAGACAAAAAGUUCGAGUAUUGUACAUUAGACUUGUUGACAUUCAUCUGGGGAGGCAGGAGAGGCGUUGCUAUAAACCAAGUGACCUGAAUUUGUAAAAUAAUCAUUCAGACUGCGAUAUCUGCUGGAUUUUGCUACUGAAUAAGAUGCUUUCCCAUGUUUUCUCUGGUAUGCAGCGUUCUACACACCGCCUGCUCAUCCUACCGCAUCCAAUCAAGGAACUCCCUGCAAACGUGACCUGCUGAAUCCGAACGACAUUGUAUGACUAACCUUAUACCAUCUCCAUCUCCUGCCUGCAGUAACUGGGAAAGGAAGGGAAUGAUCUACUAGUUUUCUUGCUUUGAAUGAGCCCACCCGGAGAGGAAGAUUGAAAUGUCUUGCCGCUUGUGUUGCUGCUCCAGUGCUACCAGCUGGGAUAACAAGAAUCUCAACAGCCAGUCAAGUUGACCCGUUUUAUGCGCGCGGUGCAGGAGCUGAACAACGCAAACCCACUUAACACUUUACCCACAACCCAAACCACGACCACUGCGAGCCACACAUGAAACAACCUGCGCUGUUACCGCUGCUUCUUCUUCACAAGGCCACUCCUGCAAUAAGUUCCGUCUCCACAGCCUGAGCCUGACAGGCUUGGCCAUGAG